UUCUUGGUAGCUUAAAAUGGUUAAAGCGUUUAGUUGUUAACUAACAAAUUGUAAGUUCAAAUCUUACCCAAGAAG
rnacentral:tRNA from 1 species